rnacentral:rRNA from 1 species
UACGUAGGGUGCGAGCGUUGUCCGGAAUUACUGGGCGUAAAGAGCUCGUAGGUGGUUUGUCGCGUUGUUCGUGAAAACCGGGGGCUUAACCCUCGGCGUGCGGGCGAUACGGGCAGACUUGAGUACUGCAGGGGAGACUGGAAUUCCUGGUGUAGCGGUGGAAUGCGCAGAUAUCAGGAGGAACACCGGUGGCGAAGGCGGCAUCCUGGACCGAUACUGACGCUGAUGAGCGAAAGCCAGGGGAGCAAACGGG